UCCGUAGGUGAACCUGCGGAAGGAUCAUUACUGAUUUGCUUAAUUGCACCACAUGUGUUUUUCUUUGAAACAAACUUGCUUUGGCGGUGGGCCCAGCCUGCCGCCAGAGGUCUAAACUUACAACCAAUUUUUUAUCAACUUGUCACACCAGAUUAUUACUAAUAGUCAAAACUUUCAACAACGGAUCUCUUGGUUCUCGCAUCGAUGAAGAACGCAGC
rnacentral:rRNA from 1 species